rnacentral:rRNA from 1 species
AGAUUGAACGCUGGCGGCAGGCCUAACACAUGCAAGUCGAGCGGAUGAGAGGAGCUUGCUCCUUGAUUUAGCGGCGGACGGGUGAGUAAUGCCUAGGAAUCUGCCUGGUAGUGGGGGAUAACGUUCCGAAAGGAACGCUAAUACCGCAUACGUCCUACGGGAGAAAGCAGGGGACCUUCGGGCCUUGCGCUAUCAGAUGAGCCUAGGUCGGAUUAGCUAGUUGGUGAGGUAAUGGCUCACCAAGGCGACGAUCCGUAACUGGUCUGAGAGGAUGAUCAGUCACACUGGAACUGAGACACGGUCCAGACUCCUACGGGAGGCAGCAGUGGGGAAUAUUGGACAAUGGGCGAAAGCCUGAUCCAGCCAUGCCGCGUGUGUGAAGAAGGUCUUCGGAUUGUAAAGCACUUUAAGUUGGGAGGAAGGGCAUUAACCUAAUACGUUAGUGUUUUGACGUUACCGACAGAAUAAGCACCGGCUAACUUCGUGCCAGCAGCCGCGGUAAUACGAAGGGUGCAAGCGUUAAUCGGAAUUACUGGGCGUAAAGCGCGCGUAGGUGGUUCGUUAAGUUGGAUGUGAAAGCCCCGGGCUCAACCUGGGAACUGCAUCCAAAACUGGCGAGCUAGAGUACGGUAGAGGGUGGUGGAAUUUCCUGUGUAGCGGUGAAAUGCGUAGAUAUAGGAAGGAACACCAGUGGCGAAGGCGACCACCUGGACUGAUACUGACACUGAGGUGCGAAAGCGUGGGGAGCAAACAGGAUUAGAUACCCUGGUAGUCCACGCCGUAAACGAUGUCAACUAGCCGUUGGGUUCCUUGAGAACUUAGUGGCGCAGCUAACGCAUUAAGUUGACCGCCUGGGGAGUACGGCCGCAAGGUUAAAACUCAAAUGAAUUGACGGAAUCGUCGACCUGCAGGCAUGCAAGCUGCACUGCGAGCCC